UGGGAAGGAAAAAAAUCGUAACAAGGUUUCCGUAGGUGAACCUGCGGAAGGAUCAUUA
rnacentral:rRNA from 1 species